rnacentral:rRNA from 1 species
CGAUGGACAACGGGUUGAUAUUCCCGUACCCGCUAUGACGCGCCAAUGCCGAACCCAGUGAUGCUAAGCGCCUGAAGCCGGCCGAGUCUUCGGACGAGGUCGGUGGAGCGCGCGAACCGAACUGGUAGUAGGCAAGCGAUGGGGUGACGCAGGAAGGUAGUCCAACCGCGGCGAUGGUUGACCGCGGGUAAGAGUGUAGGGCGGCAGAUAGGCAAAUCCGUCUGCCACAUGCCUGAGACUUGAUGCCGAGCCGAUAAAGGCGAAGUGGAUGAUCCUAUGCUGCCGAGAAAAGCCUCUAGCGAGUGUCAUGGCGGCCCGUACCCCAAACCGACUCAGGUGGUCAGGUAGAGAAUACCAAGGCGAUCGAGUGAACUGUGGUUAAGGAACUCGGCAAAAUGCCCCCGUAACUUCGGGAGAAGGGGGGCCGCGGGUGGUGUAGGAGCUUGCCUCCGAAGCUGCCUACGGCCGCAGAGACCAGUGGGAAGCGACUGUUUACUAAAAACACAGGUCCGUGCGAAGUCGCAAGACGAUGUAUACGGACUGACGCCUGCCCGGUGCUGGAACGUUAAGGGGACCGGUUAGACCUUCGGGUCGAAGCUGAGAACUUAAGCGCCAGUAAACGGCGGUGGUAACUAUAACCAUCCUAAGGUAGCGAAAUUCCUUGUCGGGUAAGUUCCGACCUGCACGAAUGGCGUAACGACUUCCCAACUGUCUCAACCACAGACUCGGCGAAAUUGCACUACGAGUAAAGAUGCUCGUUACGCGCAGCAGGACGGAAAGACCCCGGGACCUUUACUAUAGCUUGAUAUUGGUGUUCGGUACGGCUUGUGUAGGAUAGGUGGGAGACUGUGAAGUCGGCACGCCAGUGUCGGUGGAGUCAACGUUGAAAUACCACUCUGGUCGUUCUGGAUGUCUAACCUAGGUCCGUGAUCCGGAUCAGGGACAGUGUCUGGUGGGUAGUUUAACUGGGGCGGUUGCCUCCCAAAAGGUAACGGAGGCGCUCAAAGGUUCCCUCAGCCUGGUUGGCAAUCAGGUGUCGAGUGCAAGUGCACAAGGGAGCUUGACUGUGAGACAGACAUGUCGAGCAGGUGCGAAAGCAGGAACUAGUGAUCCGGCGGUGGCUUGUGGAAGCGCCGUCGCUCAACGGAUAAAAGGUACCCCGGGGAUAACAGGCUGAUCUUGCCCAAGAGUCCAUAUCGACGGCAUGGUUUGGCACCUCGAUGUCGGCUCGUCGCAUCCUGGGGCUGGAGUAGGUCCCAAGGGUUGGGCUGUUCGCCCAUUAAAGCGGUACGCGAGCUGGGUUUAGAACGUCGUGAGACAGUUCGGUCCCUAUCCGCUGUGCGCGCAGGAGACUUGAGAAGGGCUGUCCCUAGUACGAGAGGACCGGGACGGACGAACCUCUGGUGUGCCAGUUGUUCCGCCAGGAGCACGGCUGGUUGGCUACGUUCGGAAGGGAUAACCGCUGAAAGCAUCUAAGCGGGAAGCUCGCUUCAAGAUGAGGUCUCCCACAGGGUUAACCUGGUAAGGCCCCCAGUAGACGACUGGGUUGAUAGGCCGGAGGUGGAAGUGCGGCAACGCAUGGAGCUGACCGGUACUAAUAGGCCGAGGACUUGACC